rnacentral:rRNA from 1 species
GACAUGCAGAGAACUUUCCAGAGAUGGAUUGGUGCCUUCGGGAACUCUGACACAGGUGCUGCAUGGCUGUCGUCAGCUCGUGUCGUGAGAUGUUGGGUUAAGUCCGUAACGAGCGCAACCCUUGUCCUUAGUUACCAGCACGUUAUGGUGGGCACUCUAAGGAGACUGCCGGUGACAAACCGGAGGAAGGUGGGGAUGACGUCAAGUCAUCAUGGCCUUACGGCCUGGGCUACACACGUGCUACAAUGGUCGGUACAAAGGGUUGCCAAGCCGCGAGGUGGAGCUAAUCCCAUAAAACCGAUCGUAGUCCGGAUCGCAGUCUGCAACUCGACUGCGUGAAGUCGGAAUCGCUAGUAAUCGUGAAUCAGAAUGUCACGGUGAAUACGUUCCCGGGCCUU